CUGAGUAUAAUACAUUUUUCACAGCUGAUCAUCCUACAAUAUUACUAUCUGUGUAAAAUGUUCUUCUAGUUCUGCUUAUUUCACUCUGCAUCAAUUCAUGUAGAUUUUUCCAGCUGUUUCUGAAAUCAUCUUGUAUGAAUGUAUAUAUAGUAUUCUUUUCUUCCACCAGGUGUCACAAUCCUUUAAGCUGCUUCCUCCAUCAAGAGGCUGAAUGCGUCCAUCUCUGUCUAUCUAGAAUGUAUACCUAAACUUCAUGGAUUUCAUGGGGCUGUCGUAGCAGGUUCAAGGAUCUAUCAGAUGUGGACUACAAAGGCAAAGCAACACAACAAUAUCACUAGUGCUGACCUACAGGGAAACGAUGAAGAUGAAAAAAGUGAAUGUUUAAACUGGGGCAGACUCAACACUGUACUAAAGAUGAAAUUCUGCCAAUGUUUUCAGGAUGUUGUUAUGACAGAACAUGACGCCUUGCCUGAUUAA
rnacentral:lncRNA from 1 species